rnacentral:rRNA from 1 species
GACGAAGGGGGCUAGCGUUGUUCGGAAUUACUGGGCGUAAAGCGCGCGCAGGCGGUCCUUCAAGUCAGAGGUGAAAGCCCAGAGCUCAACUCUGGAACGGCCUUUGAGACUAGAGGACUUGGGUACGGGAGAGGUGAGUGGAAUUCCGAGUGUAGAGGUGAAAUUCGUAGAUAUUCGGAAGAACACCAGUGGCGAAGGCGGCUCACUGGACUGGUAUUGACGCUGAGGUGCGAAAGCGUGGGGAGCAAACAGGG